GUCUUGUUCCUUUUGGAGGAAGAAAUUCUUGAGAUAAAUCUAGUGAUGGCUGUGGAGAGUAAUCACGCCUCCCAUUUGGGGCAGCGCUGACAAAAUUAGGGCACCCAAGUCUUCCCAACCUCCCAUGUACUCCCAGGUAUCACUAGAUCUAUUUCUCCAGAAAGUAUAAAAGCUAGCGAGGGCAAAUUCAUUAAGUAGAUAUUUCCUGCUCUAUCCCAUUGGACACCUCCUGGAAAUCCUCUUACGGCGGACGGGCAGAGUGCUUCCUUCUUCUUGAUGGGGUGAUGAAGAUGGAAUGAAAAUAAGCUGGGACUGGGAGGGGAGAACUGCCAGAAAUUCUCUUCAGUUGAGAACUGCAUAUACGAAGAGCACAACAGAAGCUGGUAAGAGUUUGUUAAAAAAGAAACAAUUCUCUUCAGGCACCACGCACGCAUAAGCCACACAUCAUGCCCCAGUACUCCAGUUGUACCAGGAAAGGAUCAAGGCGUUGCUCAGGGACGGGUAACCUGCAAGAUUGAGUUUUUUUGUUACAGAGUUACAGUAUCCCAAAUCAGGUUAAAUGACAGCAAAUUGUUCAUGGAUUUUCAGUUCAGGAUUUCGAUCGCUCAGCAGCUAAUCAUUCCGGUGUCCCAAGGAAAUGUUGCGACAGUUCAUCAAGUGAGGAAAAACAUUCGGGCAGUGAUAACUCUUGCAAUUUGAGCAGUGCUGUAGCAGAUAACAGGAAAUGCAGGUUCACAAGUGCUAAAAGACAAUGCAUACAUGCAUAAUAACUAGUCACACAUCAUAAGUUUCAGCCAUUAACAGGAAGGUUUAAAAUGGUCCGAGGCCAUACAGCCAUGCAACUGAAUAACUACGAAAAACGACAUAGGUAGCAGUU